rnacentral:rRNA from 1 species
GACGAACGCUGGCGGCGUGCUUAAUACAUGCAAGUCGAACGGAAAGGCCCUGCUUUUGUGGGGUGCUCGAGUGGCGAACGGGUGAGUAACGCGUGAGUAACCUGCCCUUGACUGUGGGAUAACUUCAGGAAACUGGGGCUAAUACCGGAUAGGAGCUCCUGCUGCAUGGUGGGGGUUGGAAAGUUUCGGCGGUUGGGGAUGGAUUCGCGGCUUAUCAGCUUGUUGGGGGGGUAGUGGCUGACCAAGGCUUUGACGGGUAGCCGGCCUGAGAGGGUGACCGGCGACAUUGGGCCUGAGAUAGGCACCAGACUCCUACGGGAGGCAGCAGUGGGGAAUAUUGCGCAAUGGGCGGAAGCCUGAUGCGGCAACGCCGCGUGCGGGAUAACGGCCUUCGAGUGGUAAACCGCUUUCGACUGUGACGAAGCGUGCGUGACGGUAACGGGUAAGGAAGCACCGGCUAACUACGUG